AUUGAACGCUGGCGGAAUGCUUUACACAUGCAAGUCGAGCGGCAGCACGGACUUCGGUCUGGUGGCGAGUGGCGAACGGGUGAGUAAUAUAUCGGAACGUGCCCAGUCGUGGGGGAUAACGUAGUGAAAAUUACGCUAAUACCGCAUACGAUCUAUGGAUGAAAGCGGGGGAUCGCAAGACCUCGCGCGAUUGGAGCGGCCGAUAUCAGAUUAGGUAGUUGGUGAGGUAAAGGCUCACCAAGCCAACGAUCUGUAGCUGGUCUGAGAGGACGACCAGCCACACUGGAACUGAGACACGGUCCAGACUCCUACGGGAGGCAGCAGUGGGGAAUUUUGGAAAAUGGACGCAAGUCUGAUGCAGCCAUUCCGCGUGCAGGACGAAGGCCUUCGGGUUGUAAACUGCUUUUGUACAGAACGAAAAGGUUUCUAUUAAUACUAGGGGCUCAUGACGGUACUGUAAGAAUAAGCACCGGCUAACUACGUGCCAGCAGCCGCCGUAA
rnacentral:rRNA from 1 species